rnacentral:tRNA from 1 species
GCUUUCGUGGUGUAGUGGUCAGCACGCUCGACGCGUAACCGAGAGGUCCAUGGUUCGAUUCCCGGCGAAGGCG